rnacentral:misc_RNA from 1 species
UGCUCAUAAUCUUCCCAUUCGAUCAAUUUCACUUUCUCUGAUUCGCUCCCGUUUGCUGGCUCUGAAGAAAGGGUUCGGUCUCCUUCCAUCAAUGUCUGGAAUCGAAAAUGUAAUAGUUUGGUUCAAUAAGAGGUCAAGGCCUGACCUCAUCGUACUGCAAAGAGGAUGAAUUAGUGCUUGGACGUCAUCGAAUCGGGAAGCAUUCGGUUUGGAUCAUAAAUUUCUCGGGAAAAAUACGAGUGAUUUUCUCGCGAAAUUGGAAGGGGAAAAAAAGGACGAGUAGGUUUUCUCUUGCUUUUCUGGUCGGUAAAU